UACAGAGGUCUCAAGCGUUGUUCGGAUUCAUUGGGCGUAAAGGGUGCGUAGGCGGCGCGGUAAGUCGGGUGUGAAAUCUCGGGGCUUAACUCUGAAACUGCAUUCGAUACUGCUGUGCUUGAGGACUGGAGAGGAGACUGGAAUUUACGGUGUAGCGGUGAAAUGCGUAGAUAUCGUAAGGAAGACCAGUGGCGAAGGCGGGUCUCUGGACAGUUCCUGACGCUGAGGCACGAAGGUCAGGGGAGCAAACGGG
rnacentral:rRNA from 1 species